AUUGAGGGAAUAGUUUCGUCUGAGGAGAAAGAUCUCCACCCACCCUUUUGCUCCAGUAAGAUUCGAUUUAGUUUCCUUUGGUUCUUGCGGAAGGAAAAAUUUGGAGCAAGAAGCUGGUUUGGUGUUUCUUUUGUUUCACUUUUAUGAAUACCUGAAUUUUGAAGGGUUUUAGGGUUUUGCAACAUGUUAGGUUCAUUACCUAUAUUGCCUCUCCCUGCACCUCCUGCUGAUGGAAAUCUAGGUCCUCUUCCUGAGUCUCAAGUGUCUGAGGAGAGGACUUCCAAUGAGGAGCAGAACAAAUCAAAUUCAGCUUCUGUCCCAGUGCCAGCAACAGUUGCAACCCACACAAGAACCAUUGGAAUUAUACACCCUCCUCCAGAUAUUAGGACCAUUGUUGAUAAAACGUCCCAGUUUGUGGCUAAAAAUGGUCCAGAAUUUGAAAAGAGGAUUAUUGCAAAUAACACGGGCAAUGUCAAGUUCAAUUUCCUUAACUCAUCAGAUCCCUAUCAUGCAUAUUAUCAACAUCGGUUGGCUGAUUUUCGGGCUCAGAAUCAAUCAUCAGGGCAGCAAACUCCUUCCCAGCCUGCUGACUCGGCUAUUCCUGAGUCAGCUCCAACUGCCCCUGUCCCUGAUAGUAAUGGCAUAGCAGCAGUAGAAAAGCUCGAUGUUUCUGCCCAGUUUAAACCUAUUAGGAAAGUACUUGAACCCCCAGAAGCAGAACAGUAUACUGUUCGGCUUCCUGAAGGAAUUACAGGUGAAGAGCUGGAUAUUAUAAAGCUUACAGCACAAUUUGUGGCUCGAAAUGGGAAAUCUUUUUUGACAGGGUUGACAAGUAGGGAAGUCAAUAAUCCCCAGUUCCACUUUUUGAAGCCGACCCACAGCAUGUUUACGUUUUUUACUUCCCUUGCGGAUGCAUAUUCGAAGGUUUUGAUGCCUCCAAAGGGAUUGACAGAGAAGCUGAAGAAGAGUGUGUCUGAUAUGACUACUGUCCUUGAAAGGUGUGUGAAUAGGCUGGAAUGGGAGCGUUCACAAGAGCAAGCUAGACAAAAGGCCGAGGAUGAGAUAGAACAGGAAAGAAUACAAAUGGCUAUGAUUGAUUGGCAUGAUUUUGUGGUGGUUGAAUCAAUAGAUUUUGUUGAUGAGGAGGAUGAAGAAUUACCUCCUCCAAUGACAAUUGAGGUGGUUAUUAGGAGAAGCAAGGUGUCAGCCACGGAAGAUGAUACUGUUGAGCCUGAAAAGGAGGUUGAAAUGGAAAUGGACGAGGAAGAGGCUCAGCUUGUUGAAGAGGGCAUGAGAGCUGCUAGUUUGGAAGACCCAGAUGACGGGAAGCAAAAUGAAGUCAGAGUUACUGAAGACCCUGAACCACCAAUGAGAAUUGUUAAAAACUGGAAGAGACCCGAGGAGAGGAUUCCCGCAGAAAGAGAUUCAGCCAAGUUCGUUGUUUCUCCUAUCACCGGUGAGCUAAUUCCUAUUAGCGAAAUGUCAGAACAUAUGCGAAUUUCUCUCAUCGAUCCCAAGUACAAAGAACAAAAAGAAAGGAUGUUUGCCAAAAUUCGAGAGACAACUUUGGCUGCGGAUGAUGAAAUUUCAAGAAACAUAGUUGGACUUGCCCGGACCCGUCCUGAUAUAUUUGGUACCACCGAAGAGGAGGUCUCCAAUGCUGUCAAGGCAGAGAUUGAGAAGAUAAAUGACGAGCAACCUAAGCAGGUUAUAUGGGAUGGUCACACAGGUAGUAUUGGGCGUACUGCAAACCAAGCCAUGUCACAGAAUAUUGGAAAUGAGGACCAAAAUGAUACAUCUAAUAAUGAAGCCAAGAAUUUUCUUGGUCCUGCUGCACCUCCUCCAAGACCUGGUAUGCCUUCGGUUCGUCCACUUCCGCCAUCACCUGGAUUGGCUUUAAAUCUUCCUCGUGGUCCUGUCCAGUAUUCUGUUCCUCACAGUGGUGCACUUCCAAUUCCUCCACCCAGGCCACCUGUCAUUUCGAUGAUGCCAUCUGUUCGGCCAGCUCCUCCUCCUCCAAUGCAGAUGACUUCUGGACAGCAGUCAAUUAUGGCUGGUCAACCUCCCCCAAUGCCUCCAUCAAUGCAUCUGAAUAACCAAGGAUUUCAAAUACCUCCACCACCAGGAUCCCAAUUUACUCCUGUUCCAGUUCCCCGACCUUAUGUUCCUCUUCCUGUUCCACCAUCAGUUAUGCCUAUGAUGCAUCCACCACCUUUGCCACAAGGAGUGCCACCACCGCCACCACCAGAGGAGGCUCCUCCCCCACUCCCAGAAGAACCGGAACCUAAGAGGCAGAAGCUUGACGAUUCUGCUCUGAUCCCUGAAGAUCAAUUUCUGGCUCAACAUCCUGGACCUGUUCGUAUCUUGGUAUCUGUUCCUAAUGUUGAUGAAGGAAAUCUCAAGGGACAAGUUCUGGAAAUUACAGUGCAAUCUUUGUCUGAAACCGUUGGUAGUUUGAAGGAAAAAAUUGCCGGGGAGAUUCAGCUUCCUGCUAAUAAGCAGAAAUUGAGCGGAAAACCAGGCUUUCUCAAGGAUAACAUGUCACUUGCCCAUUACAAUCUUGGUGGAGGUGAAACACUUACUCUCACCUUAAGAGAGCGUGGUGGUAGAAAGAGAUGAGAUUGUCGCGGAUGAAGAAGAUUUUGGCACAUUGGCGCUUCUCUCUUGAGGGAAUGGGAAGUAGUGGAGUUCCUUUAAUCUAAUAUGCUCUAUCCAAAUUAUUUGCAUCACUGAUUAUUGCUUUCUUCUGUAUUUCAGUUUAGUAUUUUUGUUUUAAUUGGGAAGUUUCUUUGCUGUCAGGGAGGGAUUAUUUACAUAUUGACUUUUUGUUUGUUGUUUCAUUUUCAGUAUUGCAAUAAUCACCGUGAAGUGAUGAUUUAGUGUUUUCUUUUUCUUUUCAUUUUGUCUUCUUCCUAGUGUUUAGGUUUUUGCCAUAUAUUGGAUAUUUUCUCGUACAAGGACACUGUUGGACAGUUGGUUAGAAAGGCAUUGGUUGCUGAGAGCUUAUGUACCUUUAGCUGGGGUAUCUUGUUUGGGUUCUAGUCAAGAGAAAUUCUACUUGGAGUUGUGGGAAGGGCUGUGCAGCUUAGCCUGAUGUAUUUUUGAAUGAGAUGAUGCGCAGAAUGGACCAGGUUUGGUAUUUUAAAGAAGGCACCGAUUCUCGUGUUCAUCUUUUUUGGGAUAUGUUAGGAAACUCUAUGUUUAAGUUGCCACUGAAUGAUUAAGAUUAUCUGGUCAUCCUUAUUCUGCCAUUGUUUAUUUGGUGGAGCUUUUAUUUAAUUGUGCAUUUGUUUC